rnacentral:rRNA from 1 species
UACGAAGGGGGCAAGCGUUGUUCGGAUUUACUGGGCGUAAAGCGUACGUAGGCGGAUGAUUAAGUCAGGGGUGAAAUCCCGAGGCUCAACCUCGGAACUGCCUUUGAUACUGGUCAUCUUGAGUCCGGGAGAGGUGAGUGGAACUCCUAGUGUAGAGGUGAAAUUCGUAGAUAUUAGGAAGAACACCGGUGGCGAAGGCGGCCCACUGGCUCGAUACUGACGCUGAGGUGCGAAAGCGUGGGGAGCAAACAGG